UACGAAGGGGGCUAGCGUUGCUCGGAAUCACUGGGCGUAAAGGGUGCGUAGGCGGGUCUUUAAGUCAGGGGUGAAAUCCUGGAGCUCAACUCCAGAACUGCCUUUGAUGCUGAGAUCUUGAGUUCGGGAGAGGUGAGUGGAACUGCGAGUGUAGAGGUGAAAUUCGUAGAUAUUCGCAAGAACACCAGUGGCGAAGGCGGCUCACUGGCCCGAUACUGACGCUGAGGC
rnacentral:rRNA from 1 species